rnacentral:rRNA from 1 species
GUGGGGAAUUUUGGACAAUGGGCGCAAGCCUGAUCCAGCCAUUCCGCGUGCAGGAUGAAGGCCUUCGGGUUGUAAACUGCUUUUGUACGGAACGAAAAGGUUCUCUCUAAUACAGGGGGCUGAUGACGGUACCGUAAGAAUAAGCACCGGCUAACUACGUGCCAGCAGCCGCGGUAAUACGUAGGGUGCAAGCGUUAAUCGGAAUUACUGGGCGUAAAGCGUGCGCAGGCGGUGAUGUAAGACAGAUGUGAAAUGCCCGGGCUCAACCUGGGAACUGCAUUUGUGACUGCAUUGCUGGAGUGCGGCAGAGGGGGAUGGAAUUCCGCGUGUAGCAGUGAAAUGCGUAGAUAUGCGGAGGAACACCGAUGGCGAAGGCAAUCCCCUGGGCCUGCACUGACGCUCAUGCACGAAAGCGUGGGGAGCAAACAGGAUUAGAAACCCGGGUAGUCC